UUCCUUAAUCAAUCGCAACACUCAAACUCGGAAUUUCCGCCAUUCUACUCUUGAAUUUCGCCAUCAAACCGAGCUCCUUCACCGCAUCACCAAUCUGUUCCACGCUGGAAAUCGUAUCGAUCAUCGCCGCGGCAACAGGACUGAGAAGAGCUCUGGAAAGUUGAAACGCGAAGAAAUAAGAGCAGAAAACCAUCUGUCUAACUGGUAAAGUAAGCAGAUAAUUAAAGAUGAAUUUUGUGUUAUUAGUGAUAAGAUGUAUGGUGGUGAACCUGAUUCCUGCUUGGUCUAUAUUUGCCUUGCUGAAGUGCUAAUAAACAGGAUAAAAUUCUUGCAUAAUGUCCAGUGUUUAAAAUGAUAAAAGAACAGCUCUCCCUCCUCACAAUUUAAGGAUGUAAUGCCCUAUAAAUCAUAAAUGCCUGUCACUUCAUGUAUAAUUAGACUGAUCUUUAGGGUAUUUGAUGCAGUCAAUUUCAGCAUAUGUAGUGCUCCUCUCACCCACUAAAAGUACUCUCAUACUUUAAAAUUGAAGUCAAAACUUCUCUAUAUUGUGUAUAUUAUCUUAUUUGAUACGACGUUAUGUAUACGUAUUUAUGAUCCAUCCAAAUCAAAAUAAGCUGAGAGUAGAGAAAUUAAUUAGUAGUAAUAUCAUAAUUGAGGUUUAUGGGCUAAGAAUUAGCAAAUUUAGGUGGAACUAGAGUUUAUGAAAAGGGAAUCGCCUAUUUUGUUUUAAUUAUGGCUAUGAUUGAGUUUUAUAUCUUUGAUUUCUUCAUUGAUUUGAGCUCUUGUUCUGGAUCUGUUUAUUUAAUUAAAUUUAGUGUUUUUUUGCCACACAACUCUUGUAAACAGAGUACACUAAAUUUGUUAUUGUUGUUAGACAUUUGAUUAGUGCAAGGUUUCAUUACGAGUGAAUGUUAUAUCCUUGGUUUCUUCA